AACAGAAAGUUCUGGUUUGAGGGCUUUGCCAAUUUCCAUUGUGUAAGCAUGCCAGACUCCAUGCCUACUUCUGAUAAACCAGGGUGAUGUCACUAGGUAUGGAGAAUUGAGUAGUUGUUCAGUCAGCAUCCGUGAGCUCGGCUCUCACCCAGCCCGGGGCUGCUUCUAUUCAGAUGACAUCAAGCCUGGACCCCAGGGAAGGAAGGAGGCAGAAUGGUGAGAGCUGGCAGGAGGCCAGAAGGGCUAGGUGUUCUGGAGCUGAAACAAGAGCCGAUAGAAUUGUUCUCCUCAGCAUAUACCCAGCACACCAUUUAUAAACCUGCUGAUACUCUGAAUUCAAGAAACAAGGUCAGCAAAGCUUGGCGGUUGAGAUCCCUGACUCCCCACCACUGUCUGGUCUUGUCAGUCAGUGCUUAUCGAUGGACUGCUGGGUUGUGCUCUGUCUGGCCAUGACCUCCUUUUCAGCUACGAUAUAAGUGUCGGGACGUUAAACAAAUGCUUGCUUGGGAAGCACUCAGAAAGCACAUGACACACGGAGAUAAGCCUAUUAGUUCUCCCUAAAGUUAUCUGUUGAAGUUCCAGUGUCUUGGAGGGUUCUCCCGGCUGAGAUCAAGGUAAGAAGAGGCUGUUCCAGUGGGCUGCACAGUGAGCUGUGUUCUCCAGGAGAGGAAGGGUCCCGGGAAGACAGAGAUGUCUAGAAGGACAACCAUAUGAUGAGG
rnacentral:lncRNA from 1 species